AGAUAUCAAGAAGGCACCCUGACCAAGCAAUUUGGAAACCCAACACUAGUGGCAACUUCUCUUGUUCUUCAGCUUGGGAACUGGUGAGAAAAAAGAAGACCAAGAGAAACAGAAAUGGCUAUGUUACUAUUGUUACUAUUAUUAUAUUAAGAGAAACAGAAAUAGCUUAUGCUGUAACAAGAUAUUCCUACUCCAUUGGAUUUGAUAUCUUGAUACAUUUUCUUUGAUUUAGUUUCUGACAAUGUAAGAAUUUCACUUAAAGAAAUCAAACAAAGAAUCUGGUGUGAAAAAUAUCAGACAACUCUAUCUAAUUUAUGAUUUUAUGCUUCCCUGCAGGUGGGAUUAACAUUAUUCGCAAAGUAGAGAAUUUUGGAGUUGCAGGUUGAAUCAGCAAAGACAAGCGUUAAAUGGCAGAACAGAUGAUUUAAUGAAGGUUUACAAUAUAGCAUUAUUCUCACUCAUUGAAAG
rnacentral:lncRNA from 1 species